rnacentral:rRNA from 1 species
AGAGUUUGAUCAUGGCUCAGAAUCAACGCUGGCGGCGCGCCUAACACAUGCAAGUCGAACGGGAAAGUGGAGCAAUCCAUGAGUACAGUGGCGUACGGGUGAGUAACACGUGGGUAUCUAACUCUUAGUGGGGAAUAACCCUGGGAAACCGGGGCUAAUACCGCAUAAGCUCGAGAGAGGAAAGCAGCAAUGCGCUGAGAGAGGAGCCCGCGGCCGAUUAGCUAGUUGGCAGGGUAAGAGCCUACCAAGGCAGAGAUCGGUAGCCGGCCUGAGAGGGCACACGGCCACACUGGCACUGAAACACGGGCCAGACUCCUACGGGAGGCAGCAGUGGGGAAUCUUGCACAAUGGGGGCAACCCUGAUGCAGCGACGCCGCGUGAGCGAUGAAGCCCUUCGGGGUGUAAAGCUCUUUCGUCAGGGAAGAUUAUGACGGUACCUGGAGAAGCAGCUGCGGCUAACUACGUGCCAGCAGCCGCGGUAAUACGUAGGCAGCGAGCGUUGUUCGGAGUUACUGGGCGUAAAGGGUGUGUAGGCGGUUCUUUAAGUUUGGCGUGAAAUCUCCCGGCUCAACCGGGAGGGUGCGUCGAAUACUGAGGGACUAGAGUACGGGAGAGGAAAGUGGAAUUCCUGGUGUAGCGGUGAAAUGCGUAGAUAUCAGGAGGAACACCGGUGGUGUAGACGGCUUUCUGGACCGUAACUGACGCUGAGACACGAAAGCGUGGGUAGCAAACAGGAUUAGAUACCCUGGUAGUCCACGCCCUAAACGAUGCAUAUUUGGUGUGGGUCAUUCAGUUGAUCCGUGCCGGAGCUAACGCGUUAAAUAUGCCGCCUGGGGAGUACAGUCGCAAGGCCGAAACUCAAAGGAAUUGACGG